AUGAUUCAUUUAUUUCGAUUUCUGUACCAAAUGCUAAUUUCAGACCUUACUUAAUGUGCAACUUUGUUCUUUUUUAUAAAUGUUUGUAAUUUCUUUAUUUGUUAUUAGAUUUUUCCCACCCCUUUUUUGCUGAUCCGAAAAAUAAUCCGAUCCGUGCCUCAAAAACUGUGAUGUGAUCCGACCCGUGAGUUUGGUGAUCCGUCACAUCCCUGGUAAAGUUAGUAUACAGUCAUAGCCAUAAAUGCAAUGGUACUAAUAAUGGCAUAAUUUAUUUCUGUGUUUCGGAUUUCGGCCUUGGUUUCCUCUUUUUCGGUUUUGGCCAAGAAUUUUCAUUUCAGUGCAUCCCUAAUUGUUACUUGCAUGCAAAAAUGCAUAAUUAAAAAAAUUACGUGUUCCUGUUCUCUUUUGGGGAAAAUAAUCACUCCACAUAUGAUUUCAGGGACACUUUUGCAUUCCAGGCAUAACAUGAAUAACAUGCAUAGCCCCAACUAUACAAUACAGUAGUAUAGGUCUUUGUUUUACUGUACUGUAUGCAUAAUAGACAGUAGUUAUUUAAUUGUGAGAAUACAAAAUCAAGGGGGAUUGCCAGAACUCCAUCUGCUCAAAGUCACUGCCUUAUUCAUUAAUUAUUCAGUCCAAUCCACCUGUGCUGACAGACAGUCAACGGACGAAAGGGGUCCACAAUUAUUUUGGCCUACGGCAGUAGAAUUAAAUUCUCUCCUUAAAGUCGCAAUGAAAAUGAAAAACUGUCACUUGUUUAGGAAUAUUGUGGGGUUUUUUAACAAAUGACUUAUCUGUGAGCUUUAUUACAGCUCUUUGGCUUCACAGAUUCAACAAGAAAUCAAAGCUCUUUCAUCAGACUAUGAAAGCCACAAAAAAAGAUUGAACGUCAGUUCACAGAAACAACUGAAAUGGGGUACCAAAAUGUGUUUUGUGUCAGUUUUGUUGAAUUAUGGUGGGCAUGUUAAUUUGUUGCUUAGACAUCAGGUAAGUCUACUUAGUGCUAUUGGCUAAUUUUAUGAAUAAUGAUGCAUAAAGACUUUGUAGAGUUUUUGUUGUCUAUUAAUUAUGCUUAAAUUAAUUAUAUCUAAAUUAUAAUUUACAUAUAGAAAUAAAAAAUGCAAACCAUGUUUAUUGCGUCAUAUUAGCAGCAGAAUGUUUAAAGACGACAAUUAGUGACGCGUCAUAUAAGCCCUGACGUCAUUCUCGUCUUCGAAGGUCAAAUUGAUUAAAAACACGCGAUCAGCCUGUUGCAAACGAAACGUAACAACUCUUUGUACGGUAUUUUUACAGCACCAAACGCCCUACCGGUCACUGGCUGUUUUGCUUUCUUUCAGAGAUAAAUAAAGCACUUAAGGACCCUGUGACAGUUUGCUGCAGUUUCAUUGCACAUUUGCUCAAAAACAGACGCGGUUUUCUUGCGGUACUGGGCAGGAGGUCGGGAUGAGGGACUCUUCCCAGGCUUAUUCCCAUCCUCAGGGACCUGUCCACCCAAGAGAUGGCUGGCUUCAGGUGGAUGAGGAAAAGAUUUGUUGGUGUUAAUCUUUCCCGAGAAUCUCUGAUAAAGCGAAGCCAUGAGUCUGGUAAAAAUCACUUAAGCAUCUCAAUGCGAGAUAUACUGUAGCGGCUGCGCUCCUGAUGUACUUGUUUUACGUUAUUCCGCAAAAGGUAGACGCUCUUCGUCUUCUCGAAUUGCCGGCAGGCUGAUGUCCCCAAAAGAUAGACGAGUCCUUUAAUGAAAAUUAAAGUAUAAUGCGCUCCGUUA